rnacentral:rRNA from 1 species
CCUAUUGUAGUGAAAUCGAGUAGGUCGGGACACGUGAAAUCCUGACUGAAUAUGGGGGGACCAUCCUCCAAGGCUAAAUACUCCUAGCUGACCGAUAGUGAACUAGUACCGUGAGGGAAAGGCGAAAAGAACCCCGGUGAGGGGAGUGAAAUAGAUCCUGAAACCGCGUACGUACAAGCAGUCGGAGCCCUUCGGGGUGACGGCGUACCUUUUGUAUAAUGGGUCAGCGAGUUAUUGUCUGUAGCAAGGUUAACCGUCUAGGGGAGCCGUAGGGAAACCGAGUCUUAAUAGGGCGCUUAGUUGCAGGUAAUAGACCCGAAACCGGACGAUCUAGCCAUGGCCAGGUUGAAGGUGCCGUAACAGGCACUGGAGGACCGAACCCACCUAUGUUGAAAAAUGGGGGGAUGAGCUGUGGCUCGGAGUGAAAGGCUAAUCAAGUCCGGAGAUAGCUGGUUCUCCCCGAAAUCUAUUUAGGUAGAGCCUCGUGAAUAACUGCUGGGGGUAAAGCACUGUUUCGGCUAGGGGGUCAUCCCGACUUACCAAACCGAUGCAAACUCUGAAUACCAGUAAGUUCAAUCACGGGAGACAGACAGCGGGUGCUAACGUCCGUUGUCAAGAGGGCAACAACCCAGACCACCAGCUAAGGUCCCUAAUAUCAGUUCAGUGGGAAACGAUGUGGGAAGGCUUAGACAGCUAGGAGGUUGGCUUAGAAGCAGCCACCCUUUAAAGAAAGCGUAAUAGCUCACUGGUUGAGUCGGUCUGCGGGGAAGAUUUAACGGGGCUAAGCAGUGAACCUAAGCUUGGGGUGCAUA